rnacentral:rRNA from 1 species
CCUACGGGGGGCAGCAGUAGGGAAUAUUGCUCAAUGGGGGAAAGCCUGAAGCAGCAACGUCGCGUGGAGGAUGAAGGUUUUAGGAUUGGAAACUCCUUUUGUUAGAGAAGAAAAUGACGGUAUCUAACGAAUAAGCACCGGCUAACUCCGUGCCAGCAGCCGCGGUAAUAAGGAGGGUGCAAGCGUUACUCGGAAUCACUGGGCGUAAAGCGCGCGUAGGCGGGAUAGCAGGUCAGAUGUGAAAUCCUAUGGGUUAACCAUAGAACUGCAUUUGAAACUGUUAUUCUAGAGUAUGGGAGAGGUAGGUGGAAUUCUUGGUGUAGGGGUGAAAUCCGUAGAGAUCAAGAGGAAUACUCAUUGCGAAGGCGGCCUGCUAGAACAUAACUGACGCUGAUGCGCGAAAGCGUGGGGAGCAAACAGGAUUAGAUACCCUGGUAGUC